AAUCAACGCUGGCGGCGUGCCUCAGACAUGCAAGUCGAACGCGAAACCUUCCUUCGGGAGGGGAGUAGAGUGGCGCACGGGUGAGUAACACGUAGGUAAUCUACCUUUGGGUGGGGAAUAACAGCCGGAAACGGCUGCUAAUACCGCAUAAUGCAGCGGCUCGACAUCGAGACAGUUGUUAAAGCGGGGGAUCGUAAGACCUCGCGCCUAAAGAGGAGCCUGCGGCAGAUAGCUAGUUGGUAGGGUAAUGGCUUACAGA
rnacentral:rRNA from 1 species